AAUGGCACUGGUAGAAUUCACUGCGCGCUCUGCUCCAGUGAAUCGCCUUGGAGCCAUACA
rnacentral:pre_miRNA from 1 species